rnacentral:rRNA from 1 species
UACGGGGGGGGCAAGCGUUGUUCGGAAUUACUGGGCGUAAAGGGCUCGUAGGCGGCCAACUAAGUCCGACGUGAAAUCCCCAGGCUUAACCUGGGAACUGCGUCGGAUACUGGAUGGCUUGAAUUCGGGAGAGGGAUGCAGAAUUCCAGGUGUAGCGGUGAAAUGCGUAGAUAUCUGGAGGAACACCGGUGGCGAAGGCGGCAUCCUGGACCAACACUGACGCUGAGUGAGCGAAAGCCAGGGGAGCAAACGGG